rnacentral:misc_RNA from 1 species
GGAAAGCAUCAAACAAUAUGGCAAUGCAGGAUAUACCAUCUGCCAUUCCUAAUGGUGUUCAUUCAAGUGAAAGUUUCUUUUCGGGUGUUUUUGAGAACCUACCUAUAGUAAGUGGUUACUCUGGCCUUCUUCAGUCAAUAAAGGGGAGCACCGAUACACAUUUAAGUGCACUGUCCAAACAUUUGCAUUCAGCUAAUGGUGAUAUUAACUGGCAUAAAUCUGAGAAGCAUGAGGAAAGGAC